CUCUCCACCAGGCUCCCACGCCCACCACACAGCCUGUAGCCCCGGCGGAGCUAUGGGCUCUGACUCCGCCUCUUUCCAAAUCCGGAGUAGUUCGUGCCACAGUCGUCCUCGGAACCCUGUGGCCCCUUCCUCACCCGUUUCAGGGCCACUUGGUUCCCACCUCCACCUUCUUAGUCUGCCUGCCCUGCUUUCCAUCUUCUUGGAAUUCGCCUUGCUGCCGCCCCGCGCCCACCCCCGCGCCCACCCCUGCCCCUGCACCGUCCCAUGCCCUUAUGGAUUUAUUCUUUACACGUAAAUAUGUCUUUCCUCUUUUUGAAAGGAUUUGGAGUUGGAACAGAGAAAUUCACUAUGGAUGAUGCUAUAUCUUUAUAUGACCUUUGGAAUAUCUGUAAUCAUCCUGAGGGCAAUACUUAUGUAAUGAAGAUGGAAGAAGAGAGAAUAUGAAUACUCCGUGCACUUUGAUCUUAUCGUUUAGCUGCUGAUCAUACCAUCCCUGGAGUCCUACUUCUGACUCCAAGUUAUGAGGUAACAAAUUUCUUUAUAGUUAAAGCAAUUUGAUUCUGGGUUUUCUGUUACUUGCAGUUGAAGGCAUCUUAAAUGGCUUAGCGUUCCCAGACUUAAAUGAUAUAGUAUCCCUAGACAAUACCGUUAUACUUUUAAGUUAUAUGAAACAAUACAUUCUCAGGCACUCAUUCAUACAACCAGCUCCCAUAUCAGGAAAUGGGACCUUACUUCCAGACUUAAAAAAUCCAGUAUUCAGUUGCAGAUAAGGAAUAAGGAGCUAUCUAAAAAACAAGCAUGAGGUAAAAAGGCAUCAUUCUAAUUUGCACUAUAAGAAAAAAUAUACCAGGAUUAGCAAAUAACUCCCUAAAUAAAUGCUGUCAGCAAAGUGAUGAGCCUCUUAUAUUUUCCUCAUAGGAAGAGGUAGGCUUCCGGACUCCAGUCUCUCCACCUCACAUCUAUUUUCCAUAUACUUUAGAUUUCUUUGUCUUAAGGAGGUGAUCCUGAUAUUCAAUCUUAUGAGAAUAAAAAAUAACAUUCUAAUCACUUAUUUUUUAAAUGUCAUGCAUUAAUAUUAGUUAAGACCAUCUUUCAAAAUUACCAAAAAUUAGUAUGGUUUACUGCAAUCUUUAUGACAAUGAAAAGAUCUAUAAUGAAUGAAAUAGACCUUUCUCUAUCUCAUUUCCUUUUUCUCCUUGCCACCUCUCAGGAUGUCCCAGUGUUCUCACGUUCCACCUUCAAUCACACUUAACCAAUGUUAAAUCCCUGGUAUGUAUUCUUCCAAACCAUUUUCUAUGUUAUUACAACAAUAUAUAAAUAUAAACGUAAAUAUAGGAAUUUGGAAGUCCUUCUCACUUUUUAACGUAAGUGGGAUCAUACUCUUUACAUUUGUGUGCAAUGACACAUCUAUAUAUAUUUCUAAAACAUCUUCUUUAUAAUUGUAUAAUAUUUCAAAUGAUACAUAAACACAAUGUAUUCAAAAGUUCUGGUAUUGAUAGACAUUCAAGAUUUUCCCCCAGCUAUUUUUGCUAUUUCAAACAAUGCUGUGAUAACAAGUGAAUGCAAUCCAAUUGUGACAUUUCUCAUUCCAUCUAUUUUGAGGGUUGAUGGUGCCUAUUUUGCUGAUGAGGUAGGUAUCUUUGUCUUUUCUCAAUGUUGCCAUAUUCUUCCUUCUUAACGUUACCCGUGCUGAUGUAAAAGAACCUUUCCAGAUAAAGAAGACUCUCUUUUAUUUAAGAAUAUAUAUGUGCUUUGUCUGGCCUUCCCCCAGUAUUCAUAAAUUUUUAGCAAUCUUCCAAGAAGUUAUUGAAUCAAAAAGAAAAA
ensembl:lncRNA novel transcript